rnacentral:rRNA from 1 species
UACGGAGGAUCCAAGCGUUAUCCGGAAUCAUUGGGUUUAAAGGGUCCGUAGGCGGCCAGGUAAGUCAGUGGUGAAAGCCCAUCGCUCAACGGUGGAACGGCCAUUGAUACUGCCAGGCUUGAAUUUCUGGGAAGUAACUAGAAUAUGUAGUGUAGCGGUGAAAUGCUUAGGUAUUACAUGGAAUACCAAUUGCGAAGGCAGGAUUACUACCAGUGGAUUGACGCUGAUGGACGAAAGCGUGGGUAGCGAACAGGA